UGUCGGUGCCGUUUGAGACAAUGUUCUUUUCCAACGGUAAAGAAGGGGUUUCGUUUCUUAACCCUCACUUGAAACUCCCAUUCGCCACUUUCAAAAAAAGAACGAAAGAAAAUCCCCAGCCGCCUCACUCUUUUUCCAUCUCUCUUCACCCCACUCUCUCUUCCUUCACCGAGUUUCUCUCUCUCUCUCUCUCUCUCUCUCCCUAUUGAUCUCUUUUUCUCGUUCUUCGUCUGAAGAUAUCGAGCUGCGACGAAGAUGUUGAGCCGCCGUCGUUCUUUUUUGGAGAUUUCUGCCGCGAAUCGCGGGAGAAGAAUAGAGGGAGAAGACUGGUUUUGUCGCGAUUCCGGAUGCGAUUUCCCAAUUUCCCCUUUCUAGCUUUCGCCGGAGAUGUUCGGGUGUGGCCUUCCUCUCUCUAUCAUCGCCGCUGCGAAUCCAACGUUCAGAAUCGCCGACAACAUUCCGGCAGCGCGACGAUCUCUUCAAUUACGAUUUGCAACUUUUCCGUUUAUCGUACCUUAACAUCACUCCAAGUGUUCGACUAAAUGCCGCCAUAGAACUCCUCUUCUGUCGAAUCUGAGUUUGUAGUUUUGAUAUGAGUUUUGUGAAUUUUGAUCUGUUGAAUAUAUAUACAUGUAUAUGACUAACUAUCAUAUAUUACUCUCUUUUCUCUCUCUGCCAUGGCUUCUCAUCAACAUUUCUUGGGCCUCUGCAUCAAAUCACGAUGUUCUUAAGGGAAGAAAAUUGUGAGAGAAUGUCUAUAAUACACAAUUACAAUCAUGCUUUUAGAGGAUUCUCUGCCAUGCUUAUAAAGAUAACUGGCCAAAACAUUUUACUCAAAAUCAGAUCUCCACCAAGCUUCUUAAAGGAUACUCCUUACGGCGAGGACUCUUGUGAUCGUACUAGAAAUGUUGAUUUUAAGGAAAUUGUGGCGUUGGCAGACUAAAAAAAGGUACAAUCUUAUUGGAAUCUUACAGUGUUAUUCACAAAAGAUAUCAAUAUAAAUAACGAACCUCCUUAGCUACGCUUAAUAGUGACUGAAACUACUGGGAGUAUCUUCUAAUUAUGGCGGCUAUUGGAUAUUGUCAUGGUUUAUGUUUUAAGCUUUCAAGAGACACGAGAACACAAGCCCACCACCCGAUACCCGGAAAAAGGAAAAAAGAGAGGAAGAGAAACGAAAUCUUCCCGUCCACCAUCCAAGCCAAGCAGUAGUUUCUAGGGAAUGGAGUUUCUUCAAGGUAUCUCUAAGCAGUUGAUCUUCUCCGAUUUGUUGCUUGAGACCUUGUUCCUUGUUGUCUU